rnacentral:rRNA from 1 species
CUGUGAGCUCGAUGAGUAGGGCGGGACACGUGGUAUCCUGUCUGAAUAUGGGGGGACCAUCCUCCAAGGCUAAAUACUCCUGACUGACCGAUAGUGAACCAGUACCGUGAGGGAAAGGCGAAAAGAACCCCGGCGAGGGGAGUGAAAAAGAACCUGAAACCGUGUACGUACAAGCAGUGGGAGCCUCUUUUAUGGGGUGACUGCGUACCUUUUGUAUAAUGGGUCAGCGACUUAUAUUCUGUAGCAAGGUUAACCGAAUAGGGGAGCCGAAGGGAAACCGAGUCUUAACUGGGCGUUAAGUUGCAGGGUAUAGACCCGAAACCCGGUGAUCUAGCCAUGGGCAGGUUGAAGGUUGGGUAACACUAACUGGAGGACCGAACCGACUAAUGUUGAAAAAUUAGCGGAUGACUUGUGGCUGGGGGUGAAAGGCCAAUCAAACCGGGAGAUAGCUGGUUCUCCCCGAAAGCUAUUUAGGUAGCGCCUCGUGAAUUCAUCUCCGGGGGUAGAGCACUGUUUCGGCAAGGGGGUCAUCCCGACUUACCAACCCGAUGCAAACUGCGAAUACCGGAGAAUGUUAUCACGGGAGACACACGGCGGGUGCUAACGUCCGUCGUGAAGAGGGAAACAACCCAGACCGCCAGCUAAGGUCCCAAAGUCAUGGUUAAGUGGGAAACGAUGUGGGAAGGCCCAGACAGCCAGGAUGUUGGCUUAGAAGCAGCCAUCAUUUAAAGAAAGCGUAAUAGCUCACUGGUCGAGUCGGCCUGCGCGGAAGAUGUAACGGGGCUAAACCAUGCACCGAAGCUGCGGCAGCGACGCUUAUGCGUUGUUGGGUAGGGGAGCGUUCUGUAAGCCUGUGAAGGUGUGCUGUGAGGCAUGCUGGAGGUAUCAGAAGUGCGAAUGCUGACAUAAGUAACGAUAAAGCGGGUGAAAAGCCCGCUCGCCGGAAGACCAAGGGUUCCUGUCCAACGUUAAUCGGGGCAGGGUGAGUCGACCCCUAAGGCGAGGCCGAAAGGCGUAGUCGAUGGGAAACAGGUUAAUAUUCCUGUACUUGGUGUUACUGCGAAGGGGGGACGGAGAAGGCUAUGUUGGCCGGGCGACGGUUGUCCCGGUUUAAGCGUGUAGGCUGGUUUUCCAGGCAAAUCCGGAAAAUCAAGGCUGAGGCGUGAUGACGAGGCACUACGGUGCUGAAGCAACAAAUGCCCUGCUUCCAGGAAAAGCCUCUAAGCAUCAGGUAACAUCAAAUCGUACCCCAAACCGACACAGGUGGUCAGGUAGAGAAUACCAAGGCGCUUGAGAGAACUCGGGUGAAGGAACUAGGCAAAAUGGUGCCGUAACUUCGGGAGAAGGCACGCUGAUAUGUAGGUGAAGCGACUUGCUCGUGGAGCUGAAAUCAGUCGAAGAUACCAGCUGGCUGCAACUGUUUAUUAAAAACACAGCACUGUGCAAACACGAAAGUGGACGUAUACGGUGUGACGCCUGCCCGGUGCCGGAAGGUUAAUUGAUGGGGUCAGCGCAAGCGAAGCUCUUGAUCGAAGCCCCGGUAAACGGCGGCCGUAACUAUAACGGUCCUAAGGUAGCGAAAUUCCUUGUCGGGUAAGUUCCGACCUGCACGAAUGGCGUAAUGAUGGCCAGGCUGUCUCCACCCGAGACUCAGUGAAAUUGAACUCGCUGUGAAGAUGCAGUGUACCCGCGGCAAGACGGAAAGACCCCGUGAACCUUUACUAUAGCUUGACACUGAACAUUGAGCCUUGAUGUGUAGGAUAGGUGGGAGGCUUAGAAGUGUGGACGCCAGUCUGCAUGGAGCCGACCUUGAAAUACCACCCUUUAAUGUUUGAUGUUCUAACGUUGACCCGUAAUCCGGGUUGCGGACAGUGUCUGGUGGGUAGUUUGACUGGGGCGGUCUCCUCCUAAAGAGUAACGGAGGAGCACGAAGGUUGGCUAAUCCUGGUCGGACAUCAGGAGGUUAGUGCAAUGGCAUAAGCCAGCUUGACUGCGAGCGUGACGGCGCGAGCAGGUGCGAAAGCAGGUCAUAGUGAUCCGGUGGUUCUGAAUGGAAGGGCCAUCGCUCAACGGAUAAAAGGUACUCCGGGGAUAACAGGCUGAUACCGCCCAAGAGUUCAUAUCGACGGCGGUGUUUGGCACCUCGAUGUCGGCUCAUCACAUCCUGGGGCUGAAGUAGGUCCCAAGGGUAUGGCUGUUCGCCAUUUAAAGUGGUACGCGAGCUGGGUUUAGAACGUCGUGAGACAGUUCGGUCCCUAUCUGCCGUGGGCGCUGGAGAACUGAGGGGGGCUGCUCCUAGUACGAGAGGACCGGAGUGGACGCAUCACUGGUGUUCGGGUUGUCAUGCCAAUGGCACUGCCCGGUAGCUAAAUGCGGAAGAGAUAAGUGCUGAAAGCAUCUAAGCACGAAACUUGCCCCGAGAUGAGUUCUCCCUGACCCUUUAAGGGUCCUGAAGGAACGUUGAAGACGACGACGUUGAUAGGCCGGGUGUGUAAGCGCAGCGAUGCGUUGAGCUAACCGGUACUAAUGAACCGUGAGGCUUAACCUU